rnacentral:rRNA from 1 species
GCGGUAACGAGUUAUCUGAACCUUCGGGGAACGAUAACGGCGUCGAGCGGCGGACGGGUGAGUAAUGCCUAGGAAAUUGCCCUGAUGUGGGGGAUAACCAUUGGAAACGAUGGCUAAUACCGCAUGAUGCCUACGGGCCAAAGAGGGGGACCUUCGGGCCUCUCGCGUCAGGAUAUGCCUAGGUGGGAUUAGCUAGUUGGUGAGGUAAGGGCUCACCAAGGCGACGAUCCCUAGCUGGUCUGAGAGGAUGAUCAGCCACACUGGAACUGAGACACGGUCCAGACUCCUACGGGAGGCAGCAGUGGGGAAUAUUGCACAAUGGGCGCAAGCCUGAUGCAGCCAUGCCGCGUGUGUGAAGAAGGCCUUCGGGUUGUAAAGCACUUUCAGUCGUGAGGAAGGUAGUGUAGUUAAUAGCUGCAUUAUUUGACGUUAGCGACAGAAGAAGCACCGGCUAACUCCGUGCCAGCAGCCGCGGUAAUACGGAGGGUGCGAGCGUUAAUCGGAAUUACUGGGCGUAAAGCGCAUGCAGGUGGUUUGUUAAGUCAGAUGUGAAAGCCCGGGGCUCAACCUCGGAAUAGCAUUUGAAACUGGCAGACUAGAGUACUGUAGAGGGGGGUAGAAUUUCAGGUGUAGCGGUGAAAUGCGUAGAGAUCUGAAGGAAUACCGGUGGCGAAGGCGGCCCCCUGGACAGAUACUGACACUCAGAUGCGAAAGCGUGGGGAGCAAACAGGAUUAGAUACCCUGGUAGUCCACGCCGUAAACGAUGUCUACUUGGAGGUUGUGGCCUUGAGCCGUGGCUUUCGGAGCUAACGCGUUAAGUAGACCGCCUGGGGAGUACGGUCGCAAGAUUAAAACUCAAAUGAAUUGACGGGGGCCCGCACAAGCGGUGGAGCAUGUGGUUUAAUUCGAUGCAACGCGAAGAACCUUACCUACUCUUGACAUCCAGAGAACUUUCCAGAGAUGGAUUGGUGCCUUCGGGAACUCUGAGACAGGUGCUGCAUGGCUGUCGUCAGCUCGUGUUGUGAAAUGUUGGGUUAAGUCCCGCAACGAGCGCAACCCUUAUCCUUGUUUGCCAGCGAGUAAUGUCGGGAACUCCAGGGAGACUGCCGGUGAUAAACCGGAGGAAGGUGGGGACGACGUCAAGUCAUCAUGGCCCUUACGAGUAGGGCUACACACGUGCUACAAUGGCGCAUACAGAGGGCGGCCAACUUGCGAAAGUGAGCGAAUCCCAAAAAGUGCGUCGUAGUCCGGAUUGGAGUCUGCAACUCGACUCCAUGAAGUCGGAAUCGCUAGUAAUCGUGGAUCAGAAUGCCACGGUGAAUACGUUCCCGGGCCUUGUACACACCGCCCGUCACACCAUGGGAGUGGGCUGCAAAAGAAGUAGGUAGUUAA